rnacentral:lncRNA from 1 species
AUGAAGAGAGGAAGUCAGAUCCUGGAGAAUAUCCUGAGCAGCAGCCCCAUCACAGACAAGAUGAAUACCGGACACUUUUGCUUCAGCUGUGAGCAGAUGUUUGGAAGCCGGAAAUUUCUGGAGGAGCAUGUCUGUUCCUCCGCAAGUUUUAUCUGCUCGUGUGGUACAGAGUUCAAGGAUUACAUUGCCAUGAAGCACCACAGCACAAUGCACGAACCGGGCCAUCAGGUGCUGGAUCACGAAACAAUAAAGAAGCGAAGAAUUGAGAAGGUGCUAGAAGAACAGGAGAAGAUUAAAAAACUACAGCAAGGUCAGAUUUUGAAGACAUAUUCGAGAAAAGGUCCACAUAUGUCGCUGCAGAAUAAGCCGGUCCUGCAAACACCGGGCGCCUCAGCUCUUAUGACACAGAGGCCCUUGCAGUUUUCACAAGUGCCUAAGGGGUGUCCCCCGGUGUCAUUGGUCUCAAACCCUUCCGCAAAAAACCUACAAAACAUGUUUGGGGACAGCGGUGCGCCGACCGUGGACCUAUGGACACUUUAUCAACCAGUUGUGUUGAUCAAAAGAACAGACAUUUUGAACAGGAAAAAGCCAUACACCUGUGGAAAAUGUGGGCAGAGCUUUUUAUCAAAAGCUUCUCUCGUCUCCCACCACAACUUGCAUGUCACAGAUAAAGUCUCUGGGUGUGUGGGGUGUGGGUUGCUGCUCUCCAGCAAGAAGUUGGUGCCGCGCUUCCACGCUUGUAACUCUACAAACAAUCAGACCAAAUUCCGACUCGUCACGGCAAAACCGCUAGAUUUCAAGUUGCCGAGUGGAGUUGCUGCACCACGGAAUGCAGUUCCACAGAAACCUCUGAUUAACCUGCAGUUGGAGAACAGAAGUCCAUUUGUGGCUGCUCAAGGUCGUCAAGCACCAAACAUCACCUCCAUCUCGGCUCUGAAGACCCAGAACAUCCAAACGUACAGGAAAGUAACUCAUGCCGCCUCACCGCUUCAGUCAAAAAAUCAAAACCCCACUGCAUCCAAACCCGCUGGCUUCUUGUUGCCAGCAAAGAGCCAAAGCUUCAAGCUAACCAGUAUAAACUCUGCUUCAGAUAUUUUCGGCGAUUCCGAAGACUCAUUGGUGAAUGACUCCCAGUGCAGAGUCUGUAAUAUUCUAUUUGAAACCCCUCAGCUGCUUCAAAGGCACAAGUGUGCCAAAGCCCAGGAGUUUAUGGCACGCCACAUGAAAGAUCGCAAAAUUCCACAAAAAACUUGCAGCGUAGCACCAGCGACGGACAAUUUUGCUCUCAUGAACGGGGAGAAAAAGCUAGGAUAUCAGACAAACCAACUCAGGGCUGUGAGUCUGGACAAGGGCGGAGCGCCGGGAAACGGAGAGUUGGAUGGAGAAGAUGAGGAUGACUGUUACAUUGUAGAGACCGGAUCAGCCAACCCCGCUGAGGUCAUUUACCAAGUAACAUCUUCUGUCCCCAUCAAGACUUGA